GGGAGAUAAGUUUUUAAGCAAAAAGGAUGACGCGUGGUUUUGUUAAAUUUUAUCGUUGAAAAAUUAGACUAAGCUUCCACAUGUUUAUUAGAUAUACCAACCACUAAAAUUUGAUUAUCAUCCUUGAUACUAGAGGAAAAUGGACAAGCAAUAUUCCAUUCAAUUCUUCACAAAGUUUGUGGAAGCAAUGCAGAAGUUCUGCCGAGACUAUAUUGAAUUUGAACAGGCAGUGGAGCUGAGUGGCUACCUUUCUUUGGAGAUAGACAAUUACAAGAAGGAGAGAUAUGUUCUCAGUGAGAUGGUUCACAGUACUGGUGAUGUGAUCAGUGAGAGCUACUGUGUGAAAGCCUUCAAGACUAUGAAACGUUUACCUUCAAAGUCCGACACAGUUCUUAGAGACACAGUGAACGUCCGGGCAACAGGUGUUGCCGCGUCCAGGGAUGUCACCAUAGACCUCAGACACAGCCCAGAGCCACGGUCCCCACAUCAUGCUGGUUUCCAGCCAUCUUCGGUAAGACAUAGGGCAGCAAAUUCAUAUCGUUCAGUCUCAGGUGUUCCUCAAUCAUCUCAUCGUCAAGGACAACGGACAUCACCAUCCAUGUCUCCAUCAAACAAAAGAACUCAUUUGCCUUUUGCAGCCGGAGCAGCAAAUCAAGUUGUAGACAAACAGUCGGAUGUGUUUAACAGUCAGUAUGAAUCACAUUCAUCAGGGCAUAAUACUAAUAAUGAAGAACUUCUUGAAAUUCAACCAAGACAAUCCGUCCUAAUUUCUUCCAGCCAAACUGUUUCGACCAUUGCUGCUGAGGGCAAUUCUGAAUCCAGCAGUUUUGCACCUCCAAAGGAUGAUAGCCAAACUCCAGAAGCUCAUGCAAGAGGUCAGAAACGAAGCAUUCCCAUUUCCGAAGACGCACCAUUUUCUAAAAAAGAUAAAACGGAUGGUGACUUAGAUUCUCUUAUUACUGCUGCCACAAGUAUUGUUCCUGUUUCUGAAGCAGACGUGAACUCAUUUAAAAGUCUUUAUGAUUCUCAAAGUAAGCCGAUAUCAGCAGACACUGGUUCUAGUGAAAGUCCAUCAGCAUCUCUUCCAAGUGAAAGUAUACGUCUACCUCUACCUGGCAAUAUUCAUAUCAAAGAAGAGGUCAGUGACAUUGUGUUGUUGGACAGUCCAGACAAUGGUGGUGAUAAUUCAGACCUUGCUCAGUUAGAAGUUAGUUUUGGUGUUGCUGGACAAGAUUCAUCAUCAGAAUGGAACACCCAGAUGCAAUCAUCGAGUCAGCCCAAGUUUUCACAGACUGACAGAAAGAAUAUGAAACUGGUUUUCGAUGGAUUUGGUUAUGUAAGGGACAAGGUUGUACCCACAAAGCUGGGCCAAACUAUCUACUGGAAAUGUCGUGAUUGUGCCACCUUGAAAUGCAAGGGACGGAUAAUUCAACGGGACAACUUUUUACACAUGAAGGGGGAGCAUUGUCAUGAUCGGUCCACAGACCUGUACUAGCUUUGUGGCAAUCUAAAGCCCUGCUAAGGUUCCUCAAAUCUAUAUUGUGUUUUAUAGUGCAUAGACAUGAAGAUCACUGCUAGAGGUCCAGCCAUUCUAUAUCCGAACCUAUCAACACAGGACAACCUGGACCU
rnacentral:misc_RNA from 1 species